rnacentral:rRNA from 1 species
AGUGAACGCUGGCGGUAGGCCUAACACAUGCAAGUCGAACGGCAGCACAGUAAGAGCUUGCUCUUACGGGUGUCGAGUGGCGGACGGUUGAGGAAUACAUCGGAAUCUACUUUUUCGUGGGGGAUAACGUAGGGAAACUUACGCUAAUACCGCAUACGACCUACGGGUGAAAGCAGGGGAUCUUCGGACCUUGCGCGAUUGAAUGAGCCGAUGUCGGAUUAGCUAGUUGGCGGGGUAAAGGCCCACCAAGGCGACGAUCCGUAGCUGGUCUGAGAGGAUGAUCAGCCACAAUGGAACUGAGACACGGUCCAGACUCCUACGGGAGGCAGCAGUGGGGAAUAUUGGACAAUGGGCGCAAGCCUGAUCCAGCCAUACCGCGUGGGUGAAGAAGGCCUUCGGGUUGUAAAGCCCUUUUGUUGGGAAAGAAAAGCAGCAGGUUAAUACCCCGCUGUUCUGACGGUACCCAAAGAAUAAGCACCGGCUAACUUCGUG